UUUUUCUGUUGCCAGGAAAAAAUAUUUUGUGUGGUCUGUCAGACAACCGUGUGACCACCCCACCACAGUUAAUGCGGUGAGAACGAUCCUCCACUGCCACAGAUGGGUGCCCCAAAGAGGACUCAAUCUGGACCAUUAAUCACGCCCUGAUCACACAGUCAUGAUUCAUCAACCAGACUUCGGUUCCUGUCUCCUUAGAACUCAAGGAUACAGUUGUACGAGCCUAUAGAACAGAUCCUGUUCAAGUAAGGUCGUGUCCUUUUAUUUCACUCUUUGAUUAUAUAAACGCUCUUGUCUUGCUAAGAACAAGCGAUGUCAGACUAACUUCGCAUCCCUUGUUAACCUCGUCAGGAACAGAUGGAAACCCUGAAAGCUAGUGAAAUCCGGGCCAUUAAUCACACACUGAUAACACGGUCGUGGUUCAUCGACCAUGUCUUUGGUUCCUUAAAACUCAAGGAUAAGCGAUACGAGCAUAUAGAACUGAUCUUUUUUUCCAAGUAUAAAAUUUUGUGUUCAUGUAUAUAUACACUUAUUUAGCUGCAUUCAUUAAGAAUGAUAUGUAAAAUGCUUGUAACCAUUCUGGAUUUUCUAAUAAAGUUGUAAGAUGUUUCUUACAUAGCAACAUUUA